rnacentral:tRNA from 1 species
UGCCGGAUCGUCUAAUGGUAGGACAGCAGAUUCUGGAUCUGCUUAUCUAGGUCCGAAUCCUAGUCCGGCAG